rnacentral:rRNA from 1 species
AUUGAACGCUAGCGGGAUGCCUUACACAUGCAAGUCGAACGGCAGCGCGGACUUCGGUCUGGCGGCGAGUGGCGAACGGGUGAGUAAUGUAUCGGAACGUGCCCAGUAGCGGGGGGCAACCACUCGAAAGAGUGGCUAAUACCGCAUACGCCCUACGGGGAAGGGGGGAGUCGCAAGACCUCUCACUAUUGGAGCGGCCGAUAUCGGAUUAGCCAGUUGGUGGGUAAAGGCCUACCAAGGCGACGAUCCGUAGCUGGUUUGAGAGGACGACCAGCCACACUGGGACUGAGACACGGCCCAGACUCCUACGGGAGGCAGCAGUGGGGAAUUUUGGACAAUGGGGGAAACCCUGAUCCAGCCAUUCCGCGUGUGCGAUG